rnacentral:rRNA from 1 species
CCUACGGGAGGCAGCAGUGGGGAAUUUUGGACAAUGGGCGAAAGCCUGAUCCAGCAAUGCCGCGUGAGUGAAGAAGGCCUUCGGGUUGUAAAGCUCUUUUGUCAGGGAAGAAACGGUGAGAGCUAAUAUCUCUUGCUAAUGACGGUACCUGAAGAAUAAGCACCGGCUAACUACGUGCCAGCAGCCGCGGUAAUACGUAGGGUGCAAGCGUUAAUCGGAAUUACUGGGCGUAAAGCGUGCGCAGGCGGUUUUGUAAGUCUGAUGUGAAAUCCCCGGGCUCAACCUGGGAAUUGCAUUGGAGACUGCAAGGCUAGAAUCUGGCAGAGGGGGGUAGAAUUCCACGUGUAGCAGUGAAAUGCGUAGAUAUGUGGAGGAACACCGAUGGCGAAGGCAGCCCCCUGGGUCAAGAUUGACGCUCAUGCACGAAAGCGUGGGGAGCAAACAGGAUUAGAUACCCUGGUAGUCCACGCCCUAAACGAUGUCUACUAGUUGUCGGGUCUUAAUUGACUUGGUAACGCAGCACGCGUGAGUAGACCGCCGNGGGAGGUACGGUCGCGAGAGUUAAACGUUACGAAGUAGAAGUUAGUACGGACGUGAGACGUUGCCGACGGACGACCGACCGAGGGGAGGUAGGGNG